UUUAUGGAGAGUUUGAUCCUGGCUCAGGAUGAACGCUGGCGGCGUGCCUAAUACAUGCAAGUCGAGCGAACAGAUAAGGAGCUUGCUCCUUUGACGUUAGCGGCGGACGGGUGAGUAACACGUGGGU
rnacentral:rRNA from 1 species